ACGAUCGAUAAAACAGGUAUCGAUCGUUACUAUCGAUCGUUUAUAGUGGUUAAUGGUCUGCGAAAAGGCAGCUGAAUCUCUUCAUCAUGCAGAACGGAAUUGCACACAACGGACUGAUACUUCUCUGGCGGAUGAGAGAGGGGAAGCAUUUAUGUCCGGGAAAAACCACUUUAUCUGACCAUGCUGUUUUGUACCUGCCGGUAUCCACAUUUGUGGGUACCGGCUUUUUUAUUCACC
rfam:Citrobacter rodentium ICC168, complete genome